rnacentral:rRNA from 1 species
CCUACGGGAGGCAGCAGUGAGGAAUAUUGGUCAAUGGACGAGAGUCUGAACCAGCCAAGUAGCGUGAAGGAUGACUGCCCUAUGGGUUGUAAACUUCUUUUAUAUGGGAAUAAAAUCUUCCACGUGUGGGCUUUUGUAUGUACCAUAUGAAUAAGGAUCGGCUAACUCCGUGCCAGCAGCCGCGGUAAUACGGAGGAUCCGAGCGUUAUCCGGAUUUAUUGGGUUUAAAGGGAGCGUAGGUGGAUUGUUAAGUCAGUUGUGAAAGUUUGCGGCUCAACCGUAAAAUUGCAGUUGAAACUGGCAGUCUUGAGUACAGUAGAGGUGGGCAGAAUUCGUGGUGUAGCGGUGAAAUGCUUAGAUAUCACGAAGAACUCCGAUUGCGAAGGCAGCUCACUGGACUGAAACUGACACUGAGGCUCGAAAGUGUGGGUAUCAAACAGGAUUAGAUACCCCAGUAGUC